rnacentral:rRNA from 1 species
CAGCAGCCGCGGUAAUACGGAGGGAGCUAGCGUUGUUCGGAAUCACUGGGCGUAAAGCGCACGUAGGCGGCUAUUCAAGUCAGGGGUGAAAGCCCGGGGCUCAACCCCGGAACUGCCUUUGAUACUGGGGAUCUUGAGUCCGGAAGAGGUGAGUGGAAUUUCCGGUGUAGCGGUGAAAUGCGUAGAUAUCGGAAGGAACACCUGUGGCGAAAGCGGCUCACUGGACCAUUUCUGACGCUGAUGCACGAAAGCUAGGGGAGCAAACAGGAUUAGAGACCCGUGUAGUCCCUGUCUCUUAUAC